rnacentral:tRNA from 1 species
UAGCUCAGUUGGUAGAGCAUGGCGCUUGCAACGCCAGGGUUGUGGGUUCGGUUCGAUUCCCAC